rnacentral:rRNA from 1 species
UUGACGGGGACCCGCACAAGCGGUGGAUGAUGUGGUUUAAUUCGAUGCAACGCGAAAACCUUACCCACCUUUGACAUGGCAGGAAUCCCGAAGAGAUUUGGGAGUGCUCGAAAGAGAACCUGCACACAGGUGCUGCAUGGCUGUCGUCAGCUCGUGUCGUGAGAUGUUGGGUUAAGUCCCGCAACGAGCGCAACCCUUGCCAUUAGUUGCUACGAAAGGGCACUCUAAUGGGACUGCCGGUGACAAACCGGAGGAAGGUGGGGAUGACGUCAAGUCCUCAUGGCCCUUAUAGGUGGGGCUACACACGUCAUACAAUGGCCGGUACAGAGGGUAGCCAACCCGCGAGGGGGAGCCAAUCCCACAAAGCCGGUCGUAGUCCGGAUCGCAGUCUGCAACUCGACUGCGUGAAGUCGGAAUCGCUAGUAAUCGCGGAUCAGCAUGUCGCGGUGAAUACGUUCCCGGGUCUU